UACGUAGGGUGCGAGCGUUGUCCGGAAUUAUUGGGCGUAAAGAGCUUGUAGGCGGUUUGUCGCGUCUGCUGUGAAAAUCCGGGGCUCAACCCCGGACUUGCAGUGGGUACGGGCAGACUAGAGUGUGGUAGGGGAGACUGGAAUUCCUGGUGUAACGGUGGAAUGCGCAGAUAUCAGGAGGAACACCGAUGGCGAAGGCAGGUCUCUGGGCCACUACUGACGCUGAGAAGCGAAAGCAUGGGGAGCGAACAGG
rnacentral:rRNA from 1 species